UUUUGAUGAACAUAGGGUUUUCGAAAGGUUGAUUCAGAGAAGUGGGAAUUUUCAAAUGAAUGGUUUCUAGGAGGACAGAAGCACCUACUGAAGAAUAUAAAGAGGAGGAGACAUAUUUUUGUGACAAAUAUCGCCAAUUACUUCGGUUGGCUUCCCAAGGG